ACAGCAGGACGUGGAAGAGCUGGUGGGCGUGGCCAAAGAGGUCGAAGCUGCCCGGGGAGAAGCGCUCAGGUAUGGGACAGGAGAAGAAGAAAGCUGACAGCAGAAACAGCACCACCUGGUGGAGAGGUGAUGGAAGAGCUAUUAUUGAGUAAAGUAAGAGACACAGCUAAUGAUUGAUGUAUUAAUUAGUUAGUGAUGGGACUAUAAAUAUAUCUUUUAGCCAUCUUCAAAAUGUGGUUGUCUUUUCAACAUUGAUUAGCUUAGCACAAGUAGUGAUUGAUUAUUUCUUGAAUAUUGAUCAGAGAUUAGUUUUCUUAUAUAUUCUCUGUCUGUAUUAUGUAUUUUUUAUGUUAAUAAAAUCGAUGAGACCUGCAGGAAGUGCAGCGGCAGUGCGGAGUUGCUGGUCCAGCUGCAGGUGGACAGACGGUGGGCGAUGGGGCUGAUGUCCAGCAGGUAGGCCACGCCCAUCGGCACCACCUGGCAGAGCUUCCUGUGCAGCGGGUACGGCCGCCGGAAACAAAGCUUGGCGUAACAGCAGGCGGCGCAGGAGAACCAGGCAAGGAGGGCGGCGGCCGGGAGGAAGAUCUGCCAGAAACAACAUCAUCAGCGUAUCUGAACGCAUCGUUCGCUCAGGACAGACGUAACACGCAACAACAGACCUGUCCCAGCAUGCUUUGUGUCCAGGCGGCGUCGGAGCUGUACAGGCACAGAGCCAGAGCGCAGCCGUACUGGUAGACGGCCACGCCCACGUAGUCCAGGAAGAACAGCGAGUAAUGCGCCUCCUCCGAGUGGGACUGCAGCAGGUGGGCCGCAGCACUGCAACAUGCAGCUGAGAGGCUGAUCUGAUGGCUCACCUGCAGCUCAGGUAUGUGACAGCAGAGACAACGUAGAGGACCAGAGGCAGCGAGGAGACGUCCACAGAAAACCCCUGACCCUCAGGACCCUGCAGCCGAACACCCAGAAUGCCCUGUGGAGGUCAAAGGUCAGACAACGGCAGGUCAGACACAAAGCUUUCAGACACCAGGCGAUGAAAUGGGACUGUCAGAGUCCAGUACCCCUCCCUGCAGGACAGUGAACGCCAGGAACCUCGUCACCACGCAGACGGCGGCCAGCAGGUGGCUCCAUACGUUCAGGGUCUCGUUGUGGAUCUGGAAGAGGCUGAGGACGUACGAGCGCCACGAGAGGCCCACGGGCCGGUACCCAGACAGGAUGAACCGCUCCCGAAACAACGGGGGGACGUCCACGUCUCGGACGGUGGGGGGGAGGGAGGGGAGGACGCGGGCCAGCAGAGGGAGGAAGGUGAGGCACAGCGAGGGAGUGGCAAACGACACCCGAGGCAUGAUGGGAGAAGAUCCUGAGUUGGGCUCGUCGUUCUGUACAGAGCUGGAACCAUUAAAAGAAUUCUUACAAUCAGGUGGUCAGACAGGUAGGUUGUGUUAGACAGGUUGGCAGGGGGUUAGACAGGUGAUGGGGAGGUUGUCUUCCUCUCCUUAGCAACAGCAGCUGAGGCUCAUGGGUAUUGUAGUAUUUAGAAACUGAUUCGUUCAGAAAGUUAAAAGAAUUAAAAUUUCAGGUCAGAUACUGAGCUCACAGUCUGAUUACAUCAUCACAGGGGACUCCUGCGUUUCUAUGGCGACCAUUAAAAUAACAAUCAGUGUUUCUCAGUAAUUAAAAUGAUGCAUCGGCCAGUUUUCCCGCUCUUUCCACAAAUGUACGGAAGCUCUAAACGGUCGUGAAUUCAGACAUAUUGCAAAUAAUGCACAAUGGACUUACCAAAAUAAAAGCACCAUUUACACAAUCUGGAGACACUGUGAGCAGCAAAGCUUCAGUCAACACAUUCAGGACUCUACGUAUAGAUCCAUCCAGGGGUCCACGUACCGAUCACCUCAAACUGAUCGGUAAAUCGUUACUCCACUGUUAUAUUCCAUGUCUGACAGCAGAGGGUCCUCAGUGUCUGACGAGCACUGAAUGAGCCAACCGCCUGCAAACUGCUAAUUACAUUUAUUAAUCAGAGCAUUCAAUAAUCACUCACUAAUCAGCAGGGAGAGGCUCUCGGGAACAGACAGACAGACAGACAGACAGACAGAAAACAGUCUGUUGUUUUCUCAAGAUAACGUGAUAAAUUAACUCGUUAUCUGGAGAUAACAAAGUAACGAACUCGUGAUCUCGAGAGAACGCAAAAAUGUCUGAAUCAGGGAGCGGUUAGAGCCUCCGUACAAACGGCCCUUUGAGAGGUUUAGAAAUAAUCUCCUGAAGGAAAACACAAAGAAAAGAAAGAAAAACUGUAAAAUCCCAACAGACAGUAAGAGGGUCAAAGGUCACAGUGGCCAAACAAACCUACCUGAGUUGUGUGGACGUCACUGCAGACACACUGCAGACAGACUGCAGGACACACUGCUGACAGACUGCAGGACACACUGCAGACAGACUGCAGGACACACUGCUGGCAGACUGCAGGACACACUGCUGGCAGACGCUGACCUGUUCACUGUUCGGUGCCGCAGACCGGACACACACACACACACACACACACACACACACACUCCACAAUGUGUUCUUGUUUUCAGUUAAUUCGUGCUGAUUUCAGUCUCAAUGGGGAUUUCAGACAUCAUGAGACUCUGCUGACACACACACACACACACACACACACACACACACACACACACACACACACACCUCGCUGCUGUUUCAUUCAUUCUACUAAUCAAUUUCAUUUGUAUAGCGCCAAUUCAUAACAGAAGUUAUCUCAGGACACUUUUCAAAUAGAGCAGGUCUAGACCGAACUCUUUAACAUUAAUUACAGAGACCCAACAGUACCACCAUGAGCAAGACCUUGGAGACAACUCUUGAAUGUGGUGAGGGUGUCUGCCUCCCGAACCACAACUGGAAGCUGGUUCCACAGGAGAGGAGCUUGGUAACUGAAGGCUCUGGCUCCUGUUCUACUUUUUAGAGACUAUAGGAACCACAAGUAGCCCAGCAUUCAGAGAACGUAGUGUUCUAGAGGGGUAAUAGGGUACUAUGAGCUCUUUAAGAUAUGAAGGGGCCUGACCAUGAAGAGCUUUAUAGGUGAGGAGGAGGAUUUUAAAUUCUAUUCUACAUUUUACAGGGAGCCAGUGCAGAGAAGCUAGUACAGGAGAGAUGUGAUCUCUUUUUCUAGUUCCUGUCAGUACUCGUGCUGCAGCGUUCUGAAUUAAUUGGAGUGUUUUAAUGGACUUAUUGUGGCAACCUGAUAAUAAAGAGUUGCAGUAAUCCAGCCUUGAAGUAACAAAUGCAUGGAUUAGUUUUUCUGCAUCUGUCUGUGAUAGUAUGUGUCUAAUUUUUGUAAUAUUACGUAAAUGAAAGAAGGCAGUCCUAGAGGUCUGCUUUAUGUGGGAGUUAAAUGACAAAUCCUGAUCAAAGAUAACUCCAAGAUUCCUGACAGUGGUGCUAGAGGCCAAGUUAAUGCCAUCUAGAGUAACUAUAUCUUUAGACAGUGAGUCUCUAAGGUUUUUGGGGCCAAGAACAAGAAUUUAGUUCUUUUCUGAGUUUAACAUCAGAAAAUUGCAGGUCAUCCAGGAAUUUAUGUCCGUAAGACAUGUUUGUAAUUUAGAUAAUUGAUUAAUGUCAUCGGGCUUGAUUGAUAGAUAUAACUGCGUAUCAUCUGCAUAACAAUGAAAGUUAAUGGAGUGAUUCCUAAUAAUGUUGCCUAAAAGGAGCAUAUAUGAAGUAAAUAGUAUUGGUCCAAGUAAAGAACCUUGUGGAACUCCAUGACUAACUGUAGUAUUUAUGGUAGAUUCAUCGUUAACAUGUCCACACUGCGAACGAUCUAAUAAAUAUGACUUAAACCAGCUUAGUGCGGUUCCUUUAAUGCCAAUUUGAUGCUCAAGUCUCUGUAAAAGAAUAUUAUGGUCAAUGGUGUCAAAUGCAGCACUAAGAUCUAAUAAUACAAGUACAGAGACAAGUCCAUUGUCAGAAGCAGUCAGAAGGUCAUUAUUAACUUUAACCAGAGCUGUCUCUGUGCUAUGAUGAACUCUAAAUCCUGACUGAAAAUCCUCAAAUAAACUAUUGUUAUGUAGAAAGUCACACAACUCUUUGGCGACUACUUUCUCCAGAAUCUUAGAGAGGAAGGGGAGGUUAGAGAUCGGUCUAUAGUUGGUUAAAACCCCUGGGUCAAGAGUGGACUUUUUAAGAAGGGGUUUAAUUACAGCUACUUUAAAGGACUGUGGUACAUAUCCUGAUAAUAAAGAAAGAUUAAUCCUAUCCAGUAAAGAAGUGCCAAUUAAGGGAACAACUUCUUUAAGCAGCCUAGUUGGGAUCAGGUCUAAUAGACAGGUUGAUGGCUUUGAUGAAGAAAUGAUUGAAGUUAACUGAUGAAGAUCGAUAGCAGAAAAACAGUCUAAAUAUAUAUCUAAGUUUACAUUGGUAGAAGUCCCUGAACUUGGAGAGCUACUGAUAACUGUUGAUGGCAGUUGGUGAUUAAUUUUCUCUCUAAUAGGAAUAAUUUUAUUAUUGAAGAAGCUCAUGAAGUCAUUGCUACUUAAGUUUAUGGGGAUAUGUGGCUCAAUAGAGCUGUGACUCUCUGUCAGCCUGGCUACAGUGCUGAAGAGGAACCUAGGGUUAUUCUUAUUUUCUUCUAUUAGUGCUGAGUAAUAGGCUCCUCUGGCAUUACGGAGGGCCUUUCUAUAAGUUUUAAGAUUAUCUUGCCAAAUUGAGCGAUAUUCUGAUAAUCUGGAAGAGCGCCAUUUCCUUUCAGAUUUCCUAGCUAUUUGUUUUAACUGGCGGGUUUGGUGGUUAUACCAAGGUGCUAGUCUCCUAUGUUUUAAUAAUUUCCUUUUUAUAGGAGCGAUAGAGUCUAAUGUUGAUCGUAGUGAGCCUGUAGCACUAUCGACAAGAUUAUCAAUUUCAGAGGGACUAAAGUCGUUAUAGGACUCUGUUAAAUUCAGACAUGGCAUUGAAUUAAACACUGAAGGAAUCUCCUCCUAAAUUUAGCUACAGCACUGUCAGAUAGACAUCUGCUGUAGGAAGUUUUGCCUAAUGGCUUAUAAUCUAAUAGUAUGAAAUCAAAAGUUAUUAAAUAAUGGUCAGAUAGGAAAGGAUUAUGUGGGAAGACUAUUAAAUGUUCAAUAUCAAUGCCAUAUGAUAGAACAAGGUCAAGAGUAUGAUUAAAACAAUGAGUUGGUUUACUUACACUCUGACAGAACACUCUCAUCUUUAGUAUGGUUUGCCAUGAUACUAAAAUAGUUCCAAUUGUAUAAAAUUCCUUACCCUAACCCAGAGAAAUGUGCUCAGUGUAUUUAAAAAGUAAAGUAAAGCAGAAAAUGUGUUUAGAGUUUUGGAGACUUGAGAAGAGGUUUUGCUCUCUGUGUGUCACUUUAAAUUAUUGUGCUGUGUCAUUUUUCUGUGUUAGCAACUGGACAAAACUGUAAAGAUCCUCAGACAUUUAAGGAUUGUAAAAAUAGUCUGCUUGGAAAAAGUAUAAUUUAUAAUAAUAAUACAUAUAUAUAAUAAUAGCAUAAGUAUAAUUACCACUUUAAAAUCCUUAAAGCUUUAAAUUAUUUUAACAUUCAGGAGAUGUCCUAAAAUGGCCACCGUACAGAGGACAGACAAAGUCCACCAGUUUAAACAGUCUAUUUUAAUACCUUCUAUUAAUACAAAUAAUGUCUCUUUACUUUAAGUUUUAAUUUAAACACAAAUAGUCCAUACAGCACACAGAUUACAGAUUACAGAUUACAGACUGAAUUCCAGAUUUUAGUUCUGGUUCUGGUGGUUCUGGUUCUGGAGGUUCAGGUCAAUGCGGCUCAGACUCGGGUUUUGGCCCAGACACAGGUACAGCCGACAGCCACCGAGACGUACGACGCGGUGUAGCAGCGCCCCCGUUCCUGCCGGUUCAGGACCAGGACGUUCUGGUAGAUGGGGACCGAGUUCAGGUUGUGUCCGUCUGUCUGUCCGGGGUUGGGACUGGAACAGAAGCUGCUGCUGCACUCUGCCUCCCAGAGGGUGGACGGGAUCCGGUCCUUCACCGUGGUCGACCUGAACAGACGACAGCAGCAGAGUCAAAAAUAAGACGAUAAAAGUGAGAGGAACAUGGCCGCCGUCCCCACUGUUGGUAAAUAACUGACUGACCUCCAGCUCCACGCUGACAGAGAUCUGCUGUGGAUGUUCCCGUUUCCUUCAGACGACGAGGAGAGGUCCGAGGUGAACGCCAGCAGGGAGUCACAAACAGGAGGCGGUUUAACCUUGGAGGAGGAGACGACCCACAAUGCACUGCAAAAUACCUGAGGAGAGGGGAUAUUAAACUUUAACUUUUAUUCUACUUUAUACAGAGGUUUGGUGGAUUUUCUCCUCUUAUAAAGGGCUCGUCCUUUAACAGACGACAACUGGAAACAGAGGUUAAAACGAGAGAAAACUGAAUCUCAGACACAGAGCCAGUUUGUUUCUCUGUGUGAGCGAGCAGAACUUAAUCCUCUCCGAUAAGUAUUUGCAAUUUAUGCUGCGAGGCCUUUUCAGUCAGCAUUGCGUAUACCCACUUCUAAACCCCCCCCGAUGCGCACCAUUCAGUAGUAUCUGCGAGCCAAAUUACCCAUUUUUUCCCUAGGAUGGUGAAGCCAUGACCCACGCUACUCUGCCUCUAAUUGGCUAGUACUCGCUGCCUUUACUGAUUAGAUUGGUGAACUUUAGGCAUGACGACAAAUGAGCCAAUUGGAGGCAGAGAAGGGCGGGUCAUGCCGAGGUAAAUAUUGCUAAAGACAAAUUUACUUUUCCAAGUUUACUUUAAAUGAUUUGCCUUUAGGAUUUGUAAUGAACCGGUAAGAUGAAGCGAGCUAUCCAAACAAACAUUUCAUUUGACAAUUUCAAACGUCCUCGCGAAUCAACAUCAGCCAGCAGCUCAGCUAAUGUUAGUGAUGCUACACCGGCACAGUUAAGACCAACGUCGGCGCCCGCUCUGCCCCCCACCCCCGUCGGAGAGGAUGCUGUCAGUGAAGGAGAUGCUACCUCUCCGCCCACAGCCAAAGAUGCGGGUACAACUUCGGAUGAAGACAUUUUUUUAAUCUAAGGUGAAAUAUGAACGAGGAUGCAUUGUCAAAUUCAGAUCUGAAGUAUUUUAUUUAAAUAAAUGUUCAAAAAAUAACUGAAA